AUUGAACGCUGGCGGCAGGCUUAACACAUGCAAGUCGAACGAGUGGCGGACGGGUGAGUAAUGCUUGGGAAUCUGGCUUAUGGAGGGGGAUAACUACUGGAAACUGUAGCUAAUACCGCGUACCCUCGGCUGUGCCCAGGUGGGCUUAGCUUGUUGGUGGGGUAAAGGCUCACCAAGGCGACGAUCCCUAGCUGGUCUGAGAGGAUGACCAGCCACACUGGAACUGAGACACGGCCCAGACUCCUACGGGAGGCAGCAGUGGGGAAUAUUGCGCAAUGGGCGCAAGCCUGACGCAGCCAUGCCGCGUGUAUGAAGAAGGCCUUCGGGUUGUAAAGUUCUUUCAGCAGGGAGGCGUUAGCUGCAGAAGAAGCACCGGCUAACUCCGUGCCAGCAGCCGCGGUAAUAC
rnacentral:rRNA from 1 species